CUUGGGUGCCAUGAGUUUCUUUGUUCAACUUUGAUCGUCUGUUUUAUUUAAUUGUUUUGAAAAAAAUAAAAAACAUAAAUCAUGUAUAAACUAUAUUCAUGUUUUAUAAUCUAAUAACAAUAAAAACACCAGUAGUAAAAAAAUUUCAAAUAAAACGGAUGAUCAAAGUUGGUACGAAAAACUUAUGGCUACACUUAUU
rnacentral:pre_miRNA from 1 species